UACGAAGGGGGCUAGCGUUGCUCGGAAUCACUGGGCGUAAAGCGCACGUAGGCGGAUUGCUAAGUCAGGGGUGAAAUCCUGGAGCUCAACUCCAGAACUGCCUUUGAUACUGGCGAUCUUGAGUCCGGGAGAGGUGAGUGGAACUGCCGAGUGUAGAGGUGAAAUUCGUAGAUAUUCGCAAGAACACCAGUGGCGAAAGGCGGCUCACUGGCCCGGUACUGACGCUGAGGUGCGAAAGCGUGGGGAGCAAACAGG
rnacentral:rRNA from 1 species